GGCGGAAGUGACGCGCGGGCGGGCGCAGCGGGCGCGGGGCAGAGCGGCGGCCAUGGGCAGGAAGGAGCGGGAGAAGAAGAAGUGCAAGAAGCGCCAUUGCGAGGACGAGGAAGACAAUGAAGACGAAGCUCCCGGCAGGGAGUCGCAGGAGGCGGUGCCGUCCGCGGCGGGGAAGCAGGUGGAGGACAGCGGCACCAAGCUGGACGAGUACGGGGCCAAGGACUACAAGCAUCAGAUGCCCCUGAAGGCUGACCACGCCUCGCGUCCGCUCUGGGUGGUACGUGCGGCCCCGUUCCCUCACCCCGUCUCACCUCCCCGCAGAAGUGGCGGCCGUGCCCGCUGCGGGCGGCCGCGCAGUGAGGCUCCUGAUGGUCAUAUUUUUCUCGAAGCCUUUUCUCCACUUUACAAAUAUGCACAGGAUUUUUUGGUUGCCAUUGCUGAGCCUGUGUGCAGACCAGCCCACAUUCAUGAGUACAAGCUGACUGCUUACUCGCUGUAUGCCGCUGUUAGUGUUGGUCUGCAGACAAGCGACAUCAUAGAGUAUUUACAAAAACUGAGCAAGACCGGUGUCCCAGAUGGAAUAAUUCAGUUUAUCAAGCUGUGUACUGUCAGCUAUGGGAAGGUGAAGCUGGUACUGAAGCAUAACAGGUACUUUGUGGAAAGUACCUUCCCUGAUGUCAUUCAGCAGCUUCUCCAAGACCCAGUAAUUAAAGAGUGUCGCCUAAGAAUAAAAGCUGAUGCUGAGGAUGACGAAACAGAGUUCCUUACAGAGACAUUCACCAGUAAAUCAGCGAUUGCCAAAUCCAAAGAAGGUGGCUUUGGUCCAUCAACUUCACAGGAAACAGAUGCUCAGAAUAAGCCAGAUGUCCCAGCUGAUUUAUUUGAGUUUUAUGAACAGAUGGACAAAGAUGAGGAGGAGGAGGAGGAAACACAGACAGUGUCUGUUGAAGUCAAGCAGGAGAUGAUUGAAGAACUUCAGAAGCGUUGUAUCCAUUUGGAUUACCCCUUGCUGGCAGAGUAUGAUUUCAGAAAUGAUUCUGUGAAUCCUGAUAUUAAUAUAGACCUGAAACCUACAGCUGUCCUCAGGCCCUAUCAAGAGAAAAGCCUAAGGAAGAUGUUUGGAAAUGGGCGAGCCAGAUCUGGUGUUAUUGUCUUGCCGUGUGGUGCUGGCAAGUCUCUAGUUGGAGUGACAGCUGCAUGUACUGUUCGCAAGCGGUGUCUGGUCCUUUGUAAUUCCGCAGUGUCUGUAGAGCAGUGGAAAGCCCAAUUCAAGAUGUGGUCCACCAUCGAUGACAGUCAGAUAUGUCGGUUCACUUCUGAUGCCAAGGACAAGCCCAUUGGCUGUUCAGUUGCCAUCAGCACAUAUUCCAUGUUGGGACAUACGACGAAAAGAUCCUGGGAAGCAGAAAGAGUAAUGGAGUGGCUUAAAAGUCAGGAGUGGGGCCUUAUGAUACUUGAUGAAGUACAUACUAUCCCUGCAAAGAUGUUCAGACGUGUUCUCACUAUUGUACAAGCUCAUUGUAAACUGGGGCUGACAGCUACUCUGGUCAGAGAAGAUGAUAAAAUUGUUGACCUGAACUUCCUGAUCGGACCAAAGCUCUAUGAAGCCAACUGGAUGGAGUUACAGAACAAUGGCUACAUUGCUAAAGUCCAGUGUGCUGAGGUUUGGUGCCCAAUGUCACCUGAAUUUUACAGAGAAUACGUAGCUAUCAAAACAAAGAAACGGAAACUGCUGUACACCAUGAACCCAAAUAAAUUUAGAGCCUGUGAGUUCCUGAUUAAGUUUCAUGAGCGACGGAAUGAUAAAAUCAUCGUAUUUUCCGACAAUGUCUUUGCACUGAAGGAGUAUGCAGUCAGACUUGGGAAACCCUAUAUAUAUGGUCCCACUACACAGGGAGAAAGAAUGCAAAUUCUACAAAACUUCAAGCACAAUCCAAAAAUCAACACUAUUUUCAUUUCCAAGGUAGGUGACACCUCCUUCGAUCUGCCGGAAGCCAAUGUUCUGAUUCAGAUUUCAUCCCAUGGUGGGUCUCGAAGACAGGAGGCUCAAAGACUGGGGCGAGUGCUGAGAGCCAAAAAAGGCAUGGUUGCAGAGGAAUACAAUGCCUUUUUUUAUUCUCUUGUCUCCCAAGACACUCAGGAAAUGGCAUAUUCAACGAAACGACAACGGUUUCUUGUAGAUCAAGGUUAUAGCUUCAAGGUGAUCAUAGCACAUGCCCUUCUGAAUAAACAAGAAGGAGACUAUAUGUUCCUUUAGCCAUAUAAUAGGACAGGCUGCUUCCCCGAAUGGAUUCUUAAAUCUAGGACAUUUCUCAGAAGGACAUCCAUUUUCGAAUUAGAAAUUGCCAUUGACAACAGCCCGCAACAUUGAUUGAUUGUUCUAGGGUUUCAUGUCUCUUGUUUUUCAAAAACAGUACUUUGUGGCCAGUGUGGAUUUAUUUUACCUUAAGAUGGUUUUAUAUUCUUUUUUAUCAGUCUUUGUGAUCCGAUCCAGCCCAGAUUACUGAGGUAACUAGUUUGUAAUUGUAUUGACUUGGGAAGUAAGCUGGAAAAAGAAGAGGAGGAGGGGAAAUACUACAUAACCAAGGGAAAUGGCUUAAUUAGAAUGUCUUUCUCAGUACCUCUGCACGUGGGAAAACUGAGAUUCUGAUGUAUAAACGUGUUUACCAGAAUGUGUUUAACUGCUGGAAAAAUUCUUGUGAAAUUUUAAAAAUACCUCUAAUUAAGAAAGCAAGCUGCCUACUGUAAAACUUUAGAACAGAAGCUUGAGAGCUUUUCAGUUCUUCAGAGGAGGUUUUUCGGCUAAUGGAGUAUAUGGCACUAUAUUGCCAGUAGAUGGCAUGUGCCCUGCGUGCAGGGUUAUCAGAUGAGUUACAAAAGAAUUUCAAAGAGAACAAACCUAACAGCUAAUUUAUCUUGCGUAAGUACAUGAACAUCGGAAGAGUCCUUUUGCUCUGCUGCCGCUUUGUUGCAGGUCGCUGCACUGUUUCUCAGCAACUGAUCAUACAUCUCAAUUUGUUAGUUUGUGGGGGUUUUUUCCAUAUUCCUCAGUGUUUAUUGCUACAAUUCUCAGUGUCUGUAAAUCUAGUUAAUUAUUUUUCUUAUAUAUAAAGCACUAGUUCUUAAACUAGACAAAUGUAGAGCCCACAUCAUGAAGCUGACCUUGCAGUAAGUUCAGUGUGCAUGUGAGCUGUAUGUGCUUUGGUCAGGUUCUUGAUCAAGGCGGUAUGGACAGUGUUUGGCUGACAUCCUCUGUCCAGAGCUUUUAUUUUUCCUUUCUUUCUUUCUUCCAAAGGUUUGUAUUCUGCAUUUCCAGCUAGACUACAGCAAGGGGGGGUGGAGGGUGAUGUAUGUGUAUGUACACCACUUUGGAAGAUUUUAUAUGUAUCUGUGCUAUUCAUACUGUUAAGCUGUUCAAACCAUUAAUAGAAGUUGAAGGCACUUCCAAGAGUACUCCAAGAGUACCUUGUACUGUGAUCUGUUUCUUAGGUAGUAACAAAGUUUGCAGGCAUGGAAGAAGAACAACUUUCAUUUUCAACCAAAGAAGAAGAGGAGCAGCUUCUGCAGAAAGUCCUGCAAGCAUCUGACCUGGAUGCUGAGGAGGAAGUAGUUGCUGGAGAAUACGGUUCAAAGUCUACUCAGAUGUCACGUCGUACGGGCACAAUGAGCUCUAUGUCAGGAGCAGAUGAUACAGUUUACAUGGAAUACCACUCUUCACGGAGUAAGGCAUCUGGAAAUAAACACAUCCACCCACUGUUCAAACGCUUCCGGAAAUGACGUCCUUCAAGUGCGUGUUCAAACUGCGGAUCAACACUCUGGCUGCCAGAACUAAGAAUAUGGACUAAAGACUUUUUUUAUAUGCAACUAUAUAGGCACAAUGAAAUCUUACCACAGGAAAGAUACUAUCCAGUGACUGGAUCCUGGUCAUACAUCUUUGGUUUUCAGGGUAAUUAAUAGAAUUUAUUUUUAUCAGCUGAAGAUUUUCUUUUUCAGAAGAAUUCUGGAAAAUGAAGUUUGUACUGAUGUUUGAAUUGUUAUUUGUCUGACUAUUGUGUCUGUUCAACAAAAUACUGGCUUUUUAAAUGCUUAAGUAAAAAUCAUUCAUUUAGGUGAACAAAUCCUGAUAGGAGCACUUUACAUAAUAUUUUUAAAACUAGGAGCUAAUUUAUACUUAUGAGUUAACCUGUCUUAAAAUUCUAACAAAUUGUUUGGAAACAUUUUGAAGUUUGAAAACUUUGAGGCAUAGAGGGACUAUGUCUCCAAAGUAAACUCAAGGACAGUAUUAGUAAAUACAAUUAAAUUCUGUGCUCCACUUAUUUUUCUUUCAACUGUUGAGAACUUGCUGAAGUAAAAGCUGUUUCCCUUGUCUUUAUAUAACAUUUAUUAACCAUGCAAUAAAACCAUCAUAACUGCUAAACAGUGCAGUGUCACAGCAGAAGUUAUUGAAUCAAAAAGUGUUUUGACAUGUCAUAAGGUGAGUUGGAAGCAGAGGCUGAAGGAAAGAUUCCCAGGUUUGGAGUUCUUUUCUUAAUGAGCGCUGUGUAUUUCUAAAAUAUUUGAGGAGAGGUGGUGGUUUGUGGCAGAACACUUUUUAAAUAUCAUCUGAUUAAUACUGUAAUGGUUAUGCUACUUGGUAUUGUAUUAUGAGGUGGGGGGUUUUGCUGAGAG